rnacentral:rRNA from 1 species
UACGUAGGUGGCAAGCGUUGUCCGGAUUUACUGGGCGUAAAGCGCGCGCAGGUGGCCUGUCGCGUCCGAGGUGAAAUCUCCCGGCUCAACUGGGAGGGGUCUUCGGAUACGGGCAGGCUUGAGGAGAGCAGAGGUAGGCGGAAUUCUGGGUGUAGUGGUGAAAUGCGUAGAUAUCCAGAGGAACACCAGUGGCGAAGGCGGCCUACUGGGCUCCACCUGACACUGAGGCGCGAAAGCGUGGGGAGCGAACCGG